UACGUAGGGGGCUAGCGUUGUCCGGAAUCAUUGGGCGUAAAGAGCGUGUAGGCGGCCCGGUAAGUCCGCUGUAAAAGUCAAAGGCUCAACCUUUGAAUGUCAGUGGAUACUGCCGGGCUAGAGUCCGGAAGAGGCGAGUGGAACUCCUGGUGUAGCGGUGGAAUGCGCAGAUAUCAGGAAGAACACCAACGGCGAAGGCAGCUCGCUAGGACGGUACUGACGCUGAGACGCGGAAAGCGUGGGGAGCGAACAGG
rnacentral:rRNA from 1 species